rnacentral:lncRNA from 1 species
CAAGUUCAUUUUCUCCUCCUCUUCUUUUUUUCAGAGUUUCGCACUCCAACUAUGUGCUGGUGUCUAAAAGUCCAUUGUUUUAUGGAAGAGACUUGGAGAUAGGAGCUCAGGGGAAGACCAAACAGAGAAGACUCCAGCUUUCCUCCCGUCUCCAUUCUCCACUCCAUGUCUCCCUGCCAUCCAUUCAUAUCUUGGAUCUGGUGCAGAAGUGACAGUCCCUCUUCCUGAGAGUCUCUCUGGAUUAGGAGAAAGCCAAAACAAAGCUCAACACCAACACCACCACCAUCAACAGAAGAAAUCUCCUGAGCCAUUUUAGGCCCCAACAGCAAGCCAAGGAAGGCAAACUGGGAUGGGGGAGCAAGAGGGUAACCCAGGAUGGUGGCUAGAUGGGGUGAGUGGCUUCAGCAGCCAGAGAUCUUCCCUUAGGCCUAGGAGGUGACACAAGCAAUUCUCCCAGGAUCACCUUGAUGAAGCAAUAAAUUAAGGUAACAAGGUAGAAGGUCACCGAAACCUGGUCUCAGCGAGUCCCGGGGCACUCUCUCCUGCCAUGCAAACCAAGGGCCUGGCAGAGAAGUCUCCUCAUUCAUUCAGUUCAGUUCAGUCUCUCAGUUGUGUCCAACUCUUUGCAACCUCAUG